GUGAGUCAUCGAAUCUUUGAACGCACAUUGCGCCCCCUGGCAUUCCGGGGGGCACACCUGUUCGAGCGCCAUUUCGACCCUCAAGCACGGCUUGGUGUUGGGCGCGGUCCGCGACGCACGUCAGGACCGGCCCGCAACUUGUAGGCGGCCGCCGCCCGCGCCCCCAGCGUAGCAAGCUCACGCGUUCGCUCGGGGCCGGCGCGCAGCGCCCGCCAGAACACGCUUCCCAGUUUGGCCUCGGAUCAGGUGGGGAUACCCGCUGAACUUAAGCAUAUCAAUAAGCGGAGGA
rnacentral:misc_RNA from 1 species